rnacentral:lncRNA from 1 species
UGAUAUAUAUAUAGGACAGUUACCACUAAGCCAUUGAAACUUUCUUGGACACAUAUACAAGAACCACUAAGUAUGUAAUCACACUCUUAUGUACAUUUAGAAUAAUAUGAAUUCAACUUUCAAGACUCCGAUACUUUGUUUUGUAAAAAAAAAAUAAGUAAGUGACUAAGCUAAUAUAUUCUUUGAAAGUGUGAGAACGUUGACAAAUAUGAAAAAUCAUACAUUUUUG